CUCGUGAGGUCAGCUGAGUAGCUAUGGUGUCUAGAUUUGCUUUUUCUAAGAGAAACAUCAAGGAUGGAGUGCUAAGCUGACACUGCCGUCCUGAGAAGGUGUCGCUGUUCACUUAUCACAAAAUCACCCCGGAAGCCCAGGAAAUUACCUCGGCUAAAAUAACAAGCGUGUUUUCUGGAAAUAAAAUAACCAGAUUUGUUUCUCUAAAAGUCCUAUUCUCUUUUACUUUAACUUCGUACCUGAGCCACUGAGGACAAGGAGGAGGGUGACUAGGGGAGCAGGGAAAGAAAGGUGAAGAAACUGAGGCACACAGAAACUGAAUGACUUAUUCAAGGUCACCAGCUUAUAAAAGUCACAGCUGCAAUUAGAACUCAGGUUUUCGCUGAGAUUGGAGGCGUUCAAAUAAAUAAAUAAUAAAUAGUCUUCCAUGAAAAUUGUAUUGAGUGUCACUGUAUAAUGAACUACCAGGAUUGGGAAGAGUCCCACAUUUAACUUGCCCUUUGCAGAUGGACAUAAGCUGUGGGCCAGCAGUUUGUGAGGCACCUAUGAUGCAUCAGCAAUCACUUACAGCUAAGUGGGAUUUUGCACUCAGGGAACUCAUGUGAAGACACCUGAAAGCAGAGGUUUUUACCACUGGAGAGAUGUUUAAGUUUGGGGCUGGGGUCUAAGAGUCCCAGCAGAAGGUGUCACUGCCAUCAUUGCUGAAGGGGGUGCCGCUGGUAGCUGGAAUGUGUCUGCCCAAUGCUCUCUUUUGGGCACAGCCCACAUCUACGAGCCUCACUCUGCAGCCUGUAGGUCCUGAUAACUUAAACAUUUUCUGGGACUACCAAAUUUUUACAUUUAAUACGGAUCAUAUCAGAAGAUAAAAAUUUCAUGUGGUUCCUUUUGGAUUUGGUGUGCAUUAUUUAACAAGACUCUUUCUUGUCAGAACUACUUGAGCUGUAGGAAUUGGCCAGAAUCCUUUAGACAACAUCCUCUCAAGGCUGGGGACCUCCAAAUUGCAAGGACAAGCAACCAUGAAGUAAUGCUCUAGAAUCAACACACAUCAAGGCCUUUAUUUUAGACUUGUAUAACCACUUUCAUCUUCAGAGGCUGAAUAUUCUCAUCUGCAGAGGAUUUACAAAAAUCCUUUCACCUAUCUUGAGAGUUGGAGCUGAGAGAAGGAAAGAAAGCUUUGAGAAGAUUCUAGUGCAAUUAUUAAACAUGAAGAUCAUCAGGAUUCUCUUAUGUUGCAUGGUUUGCUGAAGUAAUUUCAGUAGAAUUUUUUACUGUUACAGAUGCAUCUUUAAAAAUAAA